rnacentral:rRNA from 1 species
GCAGUAGCCGCGGUAAUACGAAGGGUGCAAGCGUUACUCGGAAUUACUGGGCGUAAAGCGUGCGUAGGUGGUGGUUUAAGUCCGUUGUGAAAGCCCUGGGCUCAACCUGGGAAUUGCAGUGGAUACUGGGUCACUAGAGUGUGGUAGAGGAUAGUGGAAUUUCCGGUGUAGCAGUGAAAUGCGUAGAGAUCGGAAGGAACAUCUGUGGCGAAGGCGACUAUCUGGGCCAACACUGACACUGAGGCACGAAAGCGUGGGGAGCAAACAGGAUUAGAUACCCCAGUAGUCCCUGUCUCUUAUA